CAAUUUUCGGUUUGUGGCCAUC
rnacentral:piRNA from 1 species